rnacentral:rRNA from 2 species
AGAGUUUGAUCAUGGCUCAGAUUGAACGCUGGCGGCAGGCCUAACACAUGCAAGUCGAGCGGUAGCACAGAGAGCUUGCUCUCGGGUGACGAGCGGCGGACGGGUGAGUAAUGUCUGGGAAACUGCCUGAUGGAGGGGGAUAACUACUGGAAACGGUAGCUAAUACCGCAUAACGUCGCAAGACCAAAGUGGGGGACCUUCGGGCCUCAUGCCAUCAGAUGUGCCCAGAUGGGAUUAGCUAGUAGGUGGGGUAACGGCUCACCUAGGCGACGAUCCCUAGCUGGUCUGAGAGGAUGACCAGCCACACUGGAACUGAGACACGGUCCAGACUCCUACGGGAGGCAGCAGUGGGGAAUAUUGCACAAUGGGCGCAAGCCUGAUGCAGCCAUGCCGCGUGUGUGAAGAAGGCCUUCGGGUUGUAAAGCACUUUCAGCGGGGAGGAAGGCGGUGAGGUUAAUAACCUCAUCGAUUGACGUUACCCGCAGAAGAAGCACCGGCUAACUCCGUGCCAGCAGCCGCGGUAAUACGGAGGGUGCAAGCGUUAAUCGGAAUUACUGGGCGUAAAGCGCACGCAGGCGGUCUGUCAAGUCGGAUGUGAAAUCCCCGGGCUUAACCUGGGAACUGCAUUCGAAACUGGCAGGCUAGAGUCUUGUAGAGGGGGGUAGAAUUCCAGGUGUAGCGGUGAAAUGCGUAGAGAUCUGGAGGAAUACCGGUGGCGAAGGCGGCCCCCUGGACAAAGACUGACGCUCAGGUGCGAAAGCGUGGGGAGCAAACAGGAUUAGAUACCCUGGUAGUCCACGCCGUAAACGAUGUCGAUUUGGAGGUUGUGCCCUUGAGGCGUGGCUUCCGGAGCUAACGCGUUAAAUCGACCGCCUGGGGAGUACGGCCGCAAGGUUAAAACUCAAAUGAAUUGACGGGGGCCCGCACAAGCGGUGGAGCAUGUGGUUUAAUUCGAUGCAACGCGAAGAACCUUACCUGGUCUUGACAUCCACAGAACUUUCCAGAGAUGGAUUGGUGCCUUCGGGAACUGUGAGACAGGUGCUGCAUGGCUGUCGUCAGCUCGUGUUGUGAAAUGUUGGGUUAAGUCCCGCAACGAGCGCAACCCUUAUCCUUUGUUGCCAGCGGUUCGGCCGGGAACUCAAAGGAGACUGCCAGUGAUAAACUGGAGGAAGGUGGGGAUGACGUCAAGUCAUCAUGGCCCUUACGACCAGGGCUACACACGUGCUACAAUGGCAUAUACAAAGAGAAGCGACCUCGCGAGAGCAAGCGGACCUCAUAAAGUAUGUCGUAGUCCGGAUUGGAGUCUGCAACUCGACUCCAUGAAGUCGGAAUCGCUAGUAAUCGUAGAUCAGAAUGCUACGGUGAAUACGUUCCCGGGCCUUGUACACACCGCCCGUCACACCAUGGGAGUGGGUUGCAAAAGAAGUAGGUAGCUUAACCUUCGGGAGGGCGCUUACCACUUUGUGAUUCAUGACUGGGGUGAAGUCGUAACAAGGUAACCGUAGGGGAACCUGCGGUUGGAUCACCU